CAGCAGUAGGGAAUCUUCCGCAAUGGACGAAAGUCUGACGGAGCAACGCCGCGUGAGUGAUGAAGGUUUUCGGAUCGUAAAACUCUGUUGUUAGGGAAGAACAAGUACCGUUCGAAUAGGGCGGUACCUUGACGGUACCUAACCAGAAAGCCACGGCUAACUACGUGCCAGCAGCCGCGGUAAUACGUAGGUGGCAAGCGUUGUCCGGAAUUAUUGGGCGUAAAGCGCGCGCAGGCGGUUUCUUAAGUCUGAUGUGAAAGCCCCCGGCUCAACCGGGGAGGGUCAUUGGAAACUGGGGAACUUGAGUGCAGAAGAGGAGAGUGGAAUUCCACGUGUAGCGGUGAAAUGCGUAGAGAUGUGGAGGAACACCAGUGGCGAAGGCGACUCUCUGGUCUGUAACUGACGCUGAGGAGCGAAAGCGUGGGGAGCGAACAGGAUUAGA
rnacentral:rRNA from 1 species